UGUGUCACUCCAGACUGCUUUAUUAGUGGGAGGGAAAUAUGCUUCUCUUUCAUUUAAUCUGAGGUCAUUUUGAUUUUCCUGUAAUAUGCAGCUGAACUUGAUCUUCAGUGGUAUAGAAGUACAGAGAUGAUGUUUUAGUCACCCUUCAUUGAAAAUAUGUUUCACAGUCUCAAUACAGCAGGUUCAAUUGAAAAAUAUAUUUAUUGAAUUGAACUUCAAAAACCACUAGAAGGGCUCAGAAUUCUCCACUGAGGUAUACACCAAAGUUCCUCCUGGUCUUAUUGUCUACAUCUAAUUAAAUUCAUUCCAAAUAAAAUUUAUAAUUGUUUCUUUUCAGUCUUUCUUGAACAGAGGUUUCAUAAUAGGAAAAUAUUUAAAUAAAAUGCUUUAUGAAUAUUCCAUAUGCUUAAAUAUAUUUUAUUAGCUUUUGAAUAAAAGGUGACCAAAGUAUUGUUUUCUGCCUUUUAUUGAAAACAUAAAGCUUUAGCUUUAUUAUUAGGGAUUAAAACAGCUUUAAAAAGAAGACCUAAACUGAAAACAAGUUAGUAUUACAAUGUAUUUUCUGUUAAGAUAAUAUAAUGUAUAU
rnacentral:lncRNA from 1 species